UUUCUACCAAUGUUUGCUGACGUAUGCCGCGACGUGCCUCCUCAUUGGCCACGGCGGUCUGGGAGGAGCGCAGAGAGGCGGAGAAACGAAGAAGGAAAACAUAUUUGAACCAAGUUUGAAACGUUAGCUCGGUUUGUCAGUGCUGUACGAAAACUUAGCUACUGAAGAAGCCUGGAUACUAAAACAAACUCUGGAGCUGCGUUUUUCACGUUAAUGAAAAGGCCGGGAUGUUAAAACAAACUCUGGAGCAGUUUUUUGUCGAACAGGAGUGAGGCUGGACGCUGAACACACGUGCAGCGCGAAGGUGUCACCACGCAGAGUCUUCAUUCAAUGAAGAAGUUCUUUGAGACCAGGACUGAGGCCUCCAGGAUUCAAACUUCAACCAUUAAAUCACAGAGAGAAGAGACCGACAUGAAGACAUUUCCAGAAGGUCUUCAGCUGCUGUCGUCUUCUCCUCCUGCAGAGACAAGAACACGUGUUAAUCACAGAAACUGAUCAGUAAAUCUAAAUAUUUUUACGACGUCAUAUUCUGACUGUUUAUUUAAUGCUACUAUACUGUGACAUUUUGGACCAUUUUUGACACCUAUGACAUGUGGCUUAAGACAAAGGAACCACCUUACAGCAGCUGUCUUACCUCUACCUUUACACCUCUACACAGUGUUUGGGGGUUAGGUUAGAUUUUCAUUUUGGUAUUUCAAACUGCAAUAUCAGUACUCAAAUCCAAUUUGUUACUUUAUACAUGGUCCUGUUUAUACUGCGCAUAUUGUUUAGAAUUUUUAUAUAUUGUUAAAUGUUGUCUUGUUUAUAUCAUGCCUUUUUCUAUUUUUGCUGUUGCAACACUGAAUUUCUCUGCUGUGUGACUAAAAAAGAACUGUCUCACUGAAAUAAAUACUUCUGAACACUGAAUAUUUUGCCUGUCU